AUUGAACGCUGGCGGCAGGCCUAACACAUGCAAGUCGAGCGGAGCGGCGGACGGGUGAGUAAUGCCUAGGAAUCUGCCCGGUAGUGGGGGAUAACGUCCGGAAACGGGCGCUAAUCCCGAAUACUAUCAGAUGAGCCUAGUUCGGAUUAGCGAGGUGGUGGGGUAAAGGCCUACCAAGGCGACGCUCCGUAAAUGGUCUGAGAGGAGGAUCAGUCAGAAUGGAACUGAGACACGGUCCAGACUCCUACGGGAGGCAGCAGUGGGGAAUAUUGGGCAAUGGGCGAAAGCCUGAUCCAGCAAUGCCGCGUGUGUGAAGUAGGUCUUCGGAUCGUAAGGCUCUUAAAGUUGGGAAGCGUUACCAACAGAAUAAUCACCGGCUGACUACGUGCCAGCAGCCGCGGUAAUUC
rnacentral:rRNA from 1 species